CAGCACCUCAAGUGGUCAGGAUGAUUAUUGGGCCUAAAGCAUCCGUAGCUUGCUUUGUCAGUUUUCGGUUAAAUCCAUACGCUCAACGUAUGGGCUGCCGGGAAUACUGCAAAGCUAGGGAGUGGGAGAGGUAGACGGUACUCGGUAGGAAGGGGUAAAAUCCUUUGAUCUAUUGAUGACCACCUGUGGCGAAGGCGGUCUACCAGAACACGUCCGACGGUGAGGGAUGAAAGCUGGGGGAGCAAACCGGAUUAGAGACCCGAGUAGUCC
rnacentral:rRNA from 1 species